rnacentral:rRNA from 1 species
AGUGAACGCUGGCGGUAGGCCUAACACAUGCAAGUCGAACGGCAGCACAGUAAGAGCUUGCUCUUACGGGUGGCGAGUGGCGGACGGGUGAGGAAUACAUCGGAAUCUACUUUUUCGUGGGGGAUAACGUAGGGAAACUUACGCUAAUACCGCAUACGACCUACGGGUGAAAGCAGGGGAUCCUCGGACCUUGCGCGAUUGAAUGAGCCGAUGUCGGAUUAGCUAGUUGGCGGGGUAAAGGCCCACCAAGGCGACGAUCCGUAGCUGGUCUGAGAGGAUGAUCAGCCCCACUGGAACUGAGACACGGUCCAGACUCCUACGGGAGGCAGCAGUGGGGAAUAUUGGACAAUGGGCGCAAGCCUGAUCCAGCCAUACCGCGUGGGUGAAGAAGGCCUUCGGGUUGUAAAGCCCUUUUGUUGGGAAAGAAAAGCAGCAGGUUAAUACCCCGCUGUUCUGACGGUACCCAAAGAAUAAGCACCGGCUAACUUCGUG